rnacentral:rRNA from 1 species
UACGUAGGGAGCAAGCGUUGUCCGGAAUUAUUGGGCGUAAAGGGCUCGUAGGCGGUCUGUCGCGUCGGGAGUGAAAACUCAGGGCUUAACCCUGAGCCUGCUUCCGAUACGGGCAGACUAGAGGUAUGCAGGGGAGAACGGAAUUCCUGGUGUAGCGGUGGAAUGCGCAGAUAUCAGGAGGAACACCGGUGGCGAAGGCGGUUCUCUGGGCAUUACCUGACGCUGAGGAGCGAAAGUGUGGGGAGCGAACAGG